rnacentral:lncRNA from 1 species
CGGAGCUCGCUGGGUGCCAGCUGCAGGGACACACCGUGGCUGUGGCCCCCGUGGCUAUGGCUGCUGUGGCCGCAGGGCCCGUCCUCCAGGUCCUGUGAGGGUAGGUGCUCAGUGUCCACCAGGCCCCCAGCACACCCACCCGCCGGGUACCUUCCCAAGAAGCCUGACCUCCGGGUCCCUGGGCAGCAGGAGAUUGAAGAGGUUCUCAAACAGGAAGAAGGCGUAGAGCCCGGCCAGCAUAGCCAGGAGGCGCCAGCCCCUGCUCACUCUCUCCAUCCCUCAUCCUGGGCAGCCACUCCUUCCUUCCUACACGGGCUCCACCUCUGUGCUGCCAGCACAAUGUCGGCGUGGGCACUCACUCUCUGACUGGCUGAGCUGGUCCUGGACGGGGGGCCUGGACUGGGAGGUGCAGGCUCCACUCAGCUGCUGUUGGAGCAGGGCAGGGCUCAGUUGGGCCCAGGCCUCCGGGGUCACCCCAGCCUGUUCCGACAGUCCAUAUGCAGCCAUCACGUCCCUGGCACUCAGGCAUACCUGGGGGGUGGCAGGACAGGCUCAGGGGCCCAAGCAGACCCCGGUGAGGCCCCAUCUUACCCCAGGGCGCAGCUCACCGUGUCCCACACACUGGAGCUGUUGCUGGAGCUGAUGAGGGGCACAGGGUCCCGGCUGCUGGCUCCCCUGUGCCGAUGACUGUGGUCACUGUGGGCCUCCCUGCCCACCCCCAGGCGCUGCAUCAAGGCUGACAGCUCUGGCAGGGAGAAGAGUUGGCACCGCGAGUCUGUGUGGGCUCCGGCCCUGCCCCCCAGGGACGUGGAGGCUGGGGACUCGGGGGUGCCCCCCUCCACAGCCCAGCCCAGGCCUCACCGGCCAGCGUCAUAGGGACCUCGCUGCUGUGCUGCUGGAACACAAAGUCCACGAAGUACUGAGGGCUCGGCAAGGCGUGGAAGCAAGACCCGCUCCUGACAUGGUCCAGCAGGGCAGCCAGGACGCCGCCAGCACUGCCCGGAGCCCCCGCCCCCACCGCCUCCUCCAGCAGCUGAGGGAUAUCUACGCAGGCCUGGGGAAGAGGGGGCCUCCGCCUCAGCCUUUGGUGUGACCUUCUGCCAUCCACCCCGCUGCCCCUGGAUGCAUCUCCCACCCCAACUACAGGAUCUGCCCCCACCAGCCCC